rnacentral:sRNA from 2 species
UUAACGGUUUUCUAGGGUUCCGCAAUUAUUAAAUUGGUCUGGUCCAAGAGAAAACACACAGUUUGACUGUGACACGGAAGGAUAAAAGCCUGGGAGAG